rnacentral:rRNA from 1 species
CGAACGGACAUGGUAACAUGUCAGUGGCAAACGGGUGAGUAACGCGUGGGAAUGUACCCCUUAGUUCGGGAUAACGACUGGAAACGGUCGCUAAUACCGAAUACACCGGAGACGGGAAAGAUAUAUUGCUAAGGGAGCGGCCCGCGUUAGAUUAGGUAGUUGGUGGGGUAAAGGCUCACCAAGCCUGUGAUCUAUAGCUGGUCUGAGAGGACGAUCAGCCACACUGGGACUGAGACACGGCCCAGACUUC